AUUGAACGCUGGCGGCAGGCCUAACACAUGCAAGUCGAACGGUAACAGGAAACAGCUUGCUGUUUCGCUGACGAGUGGCGGACGGGUGAGUAAUGUCUGGGGAAACUGCCUGAUGGAGGGGGAUAACAACUGGAAAGGGUAGUUAAACCCGCAUAACGUCGCAAAACCAAAGAGGGGGCCUUUCGGGCCCUUUGCCAUCGGAUUUGCCCAGUUGGGAUUAGCUAGUAGGUGGGGUAACGGCUCACCUAGGCGACGAUCCCUAGCUGGUCUGAGAGGAUGACCAGCCACACUGGAACUGAGACACGGUCCAGACUCCUACGGGAGGCAGCAGUGGGGAAUAUUGCACAAUGGGCGCAAGCCUGAUGCAGCCAUGCCGCGUGUAUGAAGAAGGCCUUCGGGUUGUAAAGUACUUUCAGCGGGGAGGAAGGGAGUAAAGUUAAUACCUUUACUCAUUGACGUUACCCGCAGAAGAAGCACCGGCUAACUCCGUG
rnacentral:rRNA from 1 species